UUUGAAAACAAAACCUGGCCGCCGUCGAGAUCUCGUCCUCAUCCAGACAUCCAGGCAGCGGCGAGCAGCGUCCGCCCCUUGGCGCUGCAUUCCGCGCCAAGCCACGCGCGGGACGCCCGGCCCUAACUCCCCUGCAGCAGAAGCCCGUGGAGAGCGCGGCGGCCAUGGAGGGCGAGGAAUCGGAUUCAGAAGAAAAGAGCUGCGUCGCCUACAGCUUGAAGAGUGGCGGCCGGCGGCGACGAAGGUCCCACUUGUUCGUCGGGUCCGUCAAACCAACGCAAUGCGGCGGCAGCUCGGUAAGCUUGUUUCCUCUGUCCCGUUCGGCUCAAGCUGCAGAGCAAGCACAAGCAGAUCCAGGUCCAGGUCUGUCUGUGGUGACUUGUUUGAUUUGGACAUGGUUGAAUAUCAGACAACUUUGGCUAGGGAGGAUGAAGCCCCGGUUAGUAGACGACAGUGAUUCGUCAUCCAUCAGUCAAAACUCGAGUGCCAGGCUUCCAUAAAGCUAGAAAGGUGAACUUUCUUGUCGUUGAAGCUUUCAUGAUGAUCCAGGAUCUACCGGCGUGAUCCGGAUGUUUCAUCGCGAUUCAGAACAUUGGUCUCCAUGGCAUGCAAUCCUGAGUUUAGCUCCACAGAAUCCAGGAUUGCUUCACCAUCUCCAGCAUCAUCGUUCCUUAAGUGCACAAAAGCAGAACUGAUAUCUUCACUAGAAUUUGCAUCAAGAACUGGCACACAAGAAUCAGUCUUCCCAUUAUCACCAAAAAAGAGCUCUGAGCUAUGAGGCGUCUGUGCCGGCGCUUCAUCUUGCAGUUGACUGAACAGUGAGUUCAUCUCUUCAACCGAGCUUGCUUCUAGAACAGGAAGCUCACCAUUUUCAGUCAACAGCUCCUUUGAUUUACAUUGGACCUUCGCAGCCACCGGAUUGUCGAGAGUCGAACAUGAAUGACCAUCUUUGAUUUGCAGUUCUGGAGUAUGCCCAUUUUCCACAGGCAAUGGUUCACUUGAUCUGUCUUGUAUUGGCUCAUUAUCGUAACUGGAGUCAGAAGCAGCAGAUUCUAAUGCUUCUCCAUUUAGCUGUGCAAAUUGUGAACUCAAGUCUUCUACUGAUCUUGCUUCAAUUACAGGCAUUGCAGAUUCUGCGGAUGAAGUACCAUUCAAUUGGUGUUCAAGUUUAACUGUCAAGGGUUGAUCAAUACCGGACUCUGUAAUGGACUGCACUAGUACUUCCUCCAUGCGACACUUAAAUAAUGAGUUAACUUCACUGAUGGAGUCGGCUUCAAUGAUAUGUUUCUCGGUAUUAUAUUCUUCUGAUAGAGUACACAUUAGCAAUUGCUCACAACCUGCACCAUAUCAGCCUUGGUUGAGUAAAUUUUGAAAAUAUAUUGUUUGAAUAGCAUUUGUAAUAAUCUGAAAAUGACCCAUAUUACCUGCAGAAACUGAACCAUUCGCUUCUGA